UCAAAUUUAACAGCUCUUUACCGCGAGCAUCACUCGAGUUUGAACCCCAGACGGUGUUAUGGGAAUUAAAAUCACCAACAAGAACGAAUGGGUUUUAUUGCCACGACUUGAUAGUUUGUAUCGAUUCUGAUUCUUUUAUAUGGUAUGUCUUGGCGGAUCGCGAACGCUACACCUCCACACGCUCUUUCCGGUUUUAAAUGUGUUUCCUGAAGAGCGAUGCACACCGGACUAU